rnacentral:rRNA from 1 species
UACAGAGGGGGCAAGCGUUGUUCGGAAUUACUGGGCGUAAAGGGCGCGUAGGCGGCCUGCUAAGUCGAACGUGAAAUCCCUGGGCUCAACCCAGGAACUGCGUCCGAUACUGGUGGGCUUGAAUCCGGGAGAGGGAUGUGGAAUUCCAGGUGUAGCGGUGAAAUGCGUAGAUAUCUGGAGGAACACCGGUGGCGAAGGCGGCAUCCUGGACCGGUAUUGACGCUGAUGCGCGAAAGCCAGGGGAGCAAACGGG